rnacentral:rRNA from 1 species
ACGAACGCUGGCGGCGUGCUUAACACAUGCAAGUCGAACGGAAAGGCCCUGCUUGCCUGGUACUCGAGUGGCGAACGGGUGAGUAACACGUGGGUGAUCUGCCCUGCACUUCGGGAUAAGCCUGGGAAACUGGGUCUAAUACCGGAUAGGAGCCAUUUUUAGUGUGAUGGUUGGAAAGUUUUUUCGGUGUAGGAUGAGCUCGCGGCCUAUCAGCUUGUUGGUGGGGUAAUGGCCUACCAAGGCGGCGACGGGUAGCCGGCCUGAGAGGGUGGACGGCCACAUUGGGACUGAGAUACGGCCCAGACUCCUACGGGAGGCAGCAGUGGGGAAUAUUGCACAAUGGGCGCAAGCCUGAUGCAGCGACGCCGCGUGGGGGAUGACGGCCUUCGGGUUGUAAACUCCUUUCGCUAGGGACGAAGCUUUUUGUGACGGUACCUAGAUAAGAAGCACCGGCUAACUACGUG